AGAGUUUGAUGGUGGCUCAGAUUGAACGCUGGCGGCGUGCCUAACACAUGCAAGUCGAGCGAGAAAGUCACUUCGGUGAUGAGUAGAGCGGCGCACGGGUGAGUAACGCGUGGAUUAUCUACCUAUUGGUUCGGGAUAACAGCUGGAAACGACUGCUAAUACCGAAUAGUCUGGCAACGGUAAAGGGGGCCUCUUCUUGAAAGCUCUCGCCAGUAGAUGAGUCCGCGUUGCAUUAGCUAGACGGUGGGGUAACGGCCUACCGUGGCUACGAUGCAUAACCGGUUUGAGAGGAUGAUCGGUCACACUGGGACUGGAACACGGCCCAGACUCCUACGGGAGGCAGCAGUGGGGAAUAUUGCGCAAUGGGCGAAAGCCUGACGCAGCGACGCCGCGUGGAGGAUGAAGGUUUUCGGAUCGUAAACUCCUGUCAGUAGGGAAGAACGGUUCAUAGAUUAAUACUCUAUGUUCUUGACGGUACCUACAGAGGAAGCACCGGCUAACUCCGUGCCAGCAGCCGCGGUAAUACGGAGGGUGCAAGCGUUAAUCGGAAUCACUGGGCGUAAAGCGCGCGUAGGCGGCUUUGUAAGUCAGAUGUGAAAGCCCACGGCUCAACCGUGGAAUUGCAUUUGAUACUGCAUGGCUUGAGUUCGGGAGAGGGUAGUGGAAUUCCAGGUGUAGGAGUGAAAUCCGUAGAGAUCUGGAGGAACACCAGUGGCGAAGGCGACUACCUGGACCGAUACUGACGCUGAGGUGCGAAAGCGUGGGGGAGCAAACAGGAUUAGAUACCCUGGUAGUCCACGCCGUAAACGAUGGAUACUAGGUGUCGGGGGGCUUGACCUUCGGUGCCCGUAGCUAACGCGUUAAAGUAUCCCGCCUGGGGGAGUACGGUCGCAAGGCUGAAAACUCAAAGAAAUUGACGGGGGGCCCCGCACAAGCCGG
rnacentral:rRNA from 1 species